AUGAAAAAUAAAACAAUCUGCACACCAGAAAAACUCUUUCCCCUCCAUUUCUCUUUCUUUUUCCCGCAUCCUGUCCCCACCCGUCAAAGGCCCAGCCAAAUUUUCUCCUUCUAUUUCGCCCGCGAAGAGGCACCGCUAAAGGCCACCGCCCACCCCGGCAUUUUUUCGCCAGAUUCAAUCGACUCUCCUAUAUCCCACGACUGCGGCGAUCAGGGCCGGCAGAUUGGGGGUGGCCGCCCGCCGGCCGACCUUGAAUCCACCACACAACCAUCCCCACGAGCACUCCACUCUAUCCCCCCUGCUCGCAGCGACCGGCGACGGCGGAUUGGAGGAGGCCACCCGACCGGCCGAGCUCAGAUCCACUACAUCAACCAGCGACAGCGGAUUGGAGGAGGCCUCCCCACCCGUCUCUCUUUCCCCACAGAUUGCAGGGACCAGCGUCGGCUGACGAGAGAGAGAGAGAGUGAGAGAGAGAAGAGGGGGUCGCUGGGAGUAAUUUUGAUGGAUUGGGAUUGGAGAGAGAAGUACGAGGUGGCUUGGGCCUUGGGGGAAUAUCUUGCGGAACAGAAACGCAAGGGUGAGGCAUAUUUGAAGGAAAGGAAUGCAAGGAUUGCGGAAUGCAAGGCUGCGGAGCAGGAGUCUCUUAAAGACAUACAAAGCAUAGCUCGUAGCCUUGUAUACUCCAGUGCUCCUAAUGCGCAACUGACACAAAAUGCACAAGGUGCUGAUGAUUGCAGUGACUCAGAGUAUGACCGAGAUGCUGAAGAGGAGGCCUAUGUAGAGGAAGAGGAUUUGAGAGAUGAAGAGGAGGUCGCUCUUGCUAAGUCCAAAGCAAUGGAAGCAUUAUCAAAUAAGCCACCCAACAUUACUCAUGAGAAUUGGACUAGCCUUGUCAAUAAAUGGUCUGAUGAAAGAAACAAGAAUGCGAUGGAAAAGAAAAGGGAAGCACAAUCAGAAGGUGAGCAGCCAGUAUCCGAUACAUCGAUUGUGGCUGAAGUUCUAAAGGAAGAAAGCGCCCAUAGUACCGUCCUUUCUAGCAUGGGGUAUGCAUCAAGAUCCGAGAGGUCUGGGAGCUCUACUUCAUGA
rnacentral:rRNA from 1 species